AUUGAACGCUGGCGGCAUGCCUUACACAUGCAAGUCGAACGGUAACAGGCCUUCGGGUGUUGACGCGUGGCGAACGCGUGAGUAAUAUACCUGAACGUGUCCAGUGGCGGGGGGUAAAGCCGCGAAAGAUGUGCUAAUAUCGCACGUGCUCUGAGGAUGAGAGCGGGGGACCUGGCAGCAAUGUUUGGCCUCGCGCCUUUGGAGCGGCCGGUGUCAGAUUAGGUAGUUGGUGGGGUAAAGGCCCAACAAGGCGAAGAUCUGUAGCUGGUUUGAGAGGACGAGCCGCCACAAUGGGGCCUAGACAAGGGCCAGAAUCCUACGGGAAGCAGGAGGGGGGAAUUUUUGAACAUGGGGGGAAGGCUGGAUCAGGCAAGGCGGGGGGGGGAAAAAGGGCUUCGGGGUGGUAAGCCGUUUUGGUAGGGAACAAAAGGCUCGGGCUAAUACCUGGGGCUGAUGACGGUACCGGAAGAAUAAGCACCGGCUAACUACGUG
rnacentral:rRNA from 1 species